AGAGUGAACGCUGGCGGUAGGCCUAACACAUGCAAGUCGAACGGCAGCACAGUGGUAGCAAUACCAUGGGUGGCGAGUGGCGGACGGGUGAGGAAUACAUCGGAAUCUACCUUUUCGUGGGGGAUAACGUAGGGAAACUUACGCUAAUACCGCAUACGCCCUUCGGGGGAAAGCCGGGGAUCGCAAGACCUGGCGCGGAUAGAUGAGCCGAUGUCGGAUUAGCUAGUUGGUGAGGUAGUGGCUCACCAAGGCGACGAUCCGUAGCUGGUCUGAGAGGAUGAUCAGCCACACUGGAACUGAGACACGGUCCAGACUCCUACGGGAGCAGCAGUGGGAAUAUUGGACAAUGGGCGCAAGCCUGAUCCAGCCAUACCGCGUGGGUGAAGAAGGCCUUCGGUUGUAAAGCCCUUUUAGUUGGAAAAGAAAGCAAGUCGGUUAAUACCCGGUUGUUCUGACGGUACCCAAAGAAUAAGACACCGGACUAACUCGUG
rnacentral:rRNA from 1 species